GAAACUAGCAAAGCAGCUAGCUGAGUUUCAGUACAAACAAAGGCUGGCAAAGGGGUGGGAGAGACUCCCUUAAUAAGAUCCCGUGAGAACAUUUGGCUGGGUGUCAACUCUGCUGAGUCACUGCUGCGUAUGACCAGCAUGUGAGUCACAAGAAGGAAGUCCCUUCCACACAGGGUACUUUUCAAACCGGAGCUGAGUAAAAGGGAAAGUUGUCCAGGAAUGUUGGCUCAGAAGACCAUUCUCUUGGAGCAGAGACAAACCUCCUGCUCUUUCCAAGUUAUUUCCCUUUGUCACAGUGAACUUCUGCCACCGAUGGUGUCCAAACCCUCAAGAGGAAGAGAAGAGUUUAAAGCCUGAGCAGCUGGAAAACUGUCAUUAAAAGGAAGGAUUACAUAGUUUUCAUGCAGAAGGAACGACGCAGCGGUUGAAAGAAACUGAAGAGAGAGCCUUGGUACCAAGAUGCAUAUACCAGGGGAGAGGGGUCUGCUCUAGUGUAUCUUUUUGCUACCACAGAAGCUCUAGAACAUUACGAUGAGGCUCUGCACAUGUGCGGAUUACCCACAAUGAGAUUCACUGGGGCCACGAAGAACCAAGAAUACACAGCAUUGUACAAAACUCAUUCUCAAAGCCAAUUUUAAGUUUUGUUGCACAUUAUGCAUCAUUAGGAAGCUGUUCUGGGUCAUCUGUUCUAUUGCAUCUCCAUUGUGUCACUGUUAUUUCAAUCAAAUUCCAAGAUGCUUCAAACUGU